UAUAGGUAAUCACAUGUUUUGAUUUGC
rnacentral:sRNA from 1 species